AAAAGGAGAAAGCCGCCCAAGGAGGGGCUCGCGUCUGAUUAGCUAGUUGGUGAGGCAAUAGCUUACCAAGGCGAUGAUCAGUAGCUGGUCCGAGAGGAUGAUCAGCCACACUGGGACUGAGACACGGCCCAGACUCCUACGGGAGGCAGCAGUGGGGCAUUUUCCGCAAUGGGCGAAAGCCUGACGGAGCAAUGCCGCGUGGAGGUGGAAGGCCUACGGGUCGUCAACUUCUUUUCUCGGAGAAGAAACAAUGACGGUAUCUGAGGAAUAAGCAUCGGCUAACUCUGUGCCAGCAGCCGCGGUAAGACAG
rnacentral:ncRNA from 1 species